rnacentral:rRNA from 1 species
GACGAACGCUGGCGGCGUGCUUAACACAUGCAAGUCGAACGGAAAGGCCCUGCUUUUGUGGGGUGCUCGAGUGGCGAACGGGUGAGUAACACGUGAGUAACCUGCCCUUGACUUUGGGAUAACUUCAGGAAACUGGGGCUAAUACCGGAUAGGAGCUCCUGCUGCAUGGUGGGGGCUGGAAAGUUUCGGCGGUUGGGGAUGGACUCGCGGCUUAUCAGCUUGUUGGUGGGGUAGUGGCUUACCAAGGCUUUGACGGGUAGCCGGCCUGAGAGGGUGACCGGCCACAUUGGGACUGAGAUACGGCCCAGACUCCUACGGGAGGCAGCAGUGGGGAAUAUUGCACAAUGGGCGGAAGCCUGAUGCAGCAACGCCGCGUGCGGGAUGACGGCCUUCGGGUUAUAAACCGCUUUCGCCUGUGACGAAGCGUGAGUGACGGUAAUGGGUAAAGAAGCACCGGCUAACUACGUG